GCUGCCCAGUCCCAGAUUGACCAACAUAAGGAAGAACAUGACAGACCAAAAAGGCGAGGCUGGGAAAUGGGUCAUGGCUUCAGUGAAGGCGAUGAAGGCCAAGCCUGUGCCCUGCACUGCCUGUGAGAGAAAAGGAGGGGUUUAAUACCCACAUGACUUGAAAAUCAGCUGUCUAAAGGGAACCAGGUCAGAAGUACACUGAUGUCAGAGUACCACAUGUGGUCUUAUCCGUUUUGACGCUGCAUCGCAUUUCACAAAGUUAUGCAGACAUGAAUCACAUGAGAGGCCGAUGGUUCUCAUUGAUAUAGGAAGGAAGACUGGAUACCCUUGAUCAUAGCAAGACACACCAUGGUCCACGCAACAAACAGGCACAAAGUCAUUUUCCAGGGACACUCGUGCCAAGGAAGAGGGUGCUGGAAGGACUGUGAGAAGUAGAAGAGACUCCAGCCGAUGAUGACAUUGUAGUAAAGCGCCACAAAAAAGCACACCUGCAAUAAGAGAGAAUGCAGUUAACUCUGGCGAAGCCGAUGCCACCCAGGUGUGGACUGAUGUAGUUCCACACCCCGAUACUGCCCCGUCGGAUGCGCUGGCCCACUGCUAGCUCCAGGAAGAAGAGAGGAAUCCCAAUUGCUAUCAGCAGAAUGAGGAUAGGGAACCAGAUACGCUCCUACAAAGAGGAGAAAUUAUGGUUAUUUAUUUAGGAACCAAACUUCCACAAUGGUAUACACAGGACUUACAGUAUGUCAGUAUUCAUGUCACAAGUGAUGGUAUAUAAAUGCAAUUAAAGCAAUUACCCAUUGUAAUCAACCAUUCUUCAAGGUCAAUGUUUGAUAAUUCUUGAACUGUGAUUAUUUGUGUCAUAUAUCUCACAACAUUUUAUUUUUAAAUCAGUUACUGUAUAUUUUACACUGUAUUGAUUGUUUU